rnacentral:rRNA from 1 species
AUUGAACGCUGGCGGCAGGCCUAACACAUGCAAGUCGAACGAGUGGCGGACGGGUGAGUAAUGUAUGGGAAACUGCCUGAUGGAGGGGGAUAACUACUGGAAACGGUAGCUAAUACCGCAUAACAUCAGAUGUGCCCAGAUGGGAUUAGCUCGUUGGUGGGGUAACGGCUCACCAAGGCGACGAUCCCUAGCUGUUCUGCGAGGAUGACCAGCAAAACUGGAACUGAGAGACGGUCCAGACGACUAGGGGAGGAAGCAGGGGGGAAUAGUGCACAAUGGGCGAAAGCCUGAUGAAGCAAUGCCGCGUGUAUGAAGAAGGCCUUCGGGUUGUAAAGGACUGUCAGCGGGGAGGCGUUACCCGCAGAAGAAGCACCGGCUAACUCCGUGCCAGCAGCCGCGGUAAUUC